rnacentral:lncRNA from 1 species
AUUUUAGCUUUAAAAAGUACUUAGCAAAUAAUGCACCUACAAGCAAGAAUGGUGUCUGGGGAUCCUGUUAUUUUUAUUGUUGCUGGAUAUAGAACCCACACAGAUGGACCUUUACUUUUGCAAAUUGCUUGACGUAUUCCUCCCUGAAACUUUUGUAACGCUAUAAUUGUGUCACAAAUAUAAGCUCCAAGGACUCUGCUACAAUAAAAACAUUUAAUGUGAACAAGGUAAGACAGGCUCUAAAUCUUCCCCAUGCCAUUUUCAUUUCCCCGGGCCUGUUUUUUUUACUUCACAGAGAAUACAAAUUUGGCCCACAGGAAAAAUACAUCCAUGGGACCCAAUCAGCCUAAUUCAGUGCAACACCAACCUCAUUCUGCUACUUUCCCUGAUCAGGGAUGGCCUUUAUGCAGCUUCCCCUGAAUGUCAAUGAUCAAUCUCUUUGAACCAAAUCCUGGGGAAAUUUGAACGUCUCUAGCUGUUGAAAUAUCUUUGAUUUUGUGAAUAAUAUUUUCAUAUACUUAUGCAUCUUGUUCUCUGUGUAAUCUGUUAUAAAAAUUAGAAGAGUCUCGGUAUUCAAUGACAUGAAGACGUCUUUCCCAAUCACAUUCUGCCUGUACAUGAAACUUGUCAGAGUAAACAAGUUGAGUUGACGGACAACCGGGUGCCCCUACGGAAACGUACUGGCAAUCAGGCCUGUGAGCAGGAAAAUGUCCUGAAAUAACCGGAGCAACUGGGCACAGCGCACAACUUCCCAGCAUUGCAGUUUAUUGUUUUAGAGCCCGAGCCCCAGGCGGGAUGCUCAGGACCUGCAUUCCUUGGCGAUUGGGGGAGAUGGUAGAAUGUUACAGAUGAGGGUGCUUUACAUGAGCUCACUCAUUUGUGAGAGUCAACUCACUGUGGAUUCAGGAGGUCUGAAUGAUUCCAGCCCUCUGGCUUUUCUUGGAGGAAGCCAACCCAGGCAAACCAAUUGCCACCCACGGAGGAUGGCUCUUCACCAAAACCCAGGAGGGCCCAGGCCCGAAGACUAGAUUGCUCCAGCUUCCUAUGGCAGAAAGAGGAUGAUAAAAAUAGUUGAUGUAGCAACCUGUCGUGCUGCCCAAGGUGCGUAACCUCAUGCUUGUUUGGAAAGACUUGAACAGGUAGCUGAGGGUGCAAACAGGGCAGCUGCAUUUGGAGAGAAGAGGAUGAAAGAGGAAUGAAGGGAGGCGGUGGGACCGGAAAAUCAAAGGUGUGGAAAAGAUGUGUUAUGGUGGGUUAGGUUAAUGGACAUCUCCACUUCAACAAGACCUUCCACAAAAAAGCUGACACCUCGUGAGAAAUCAAGGUCCCACUGCAUCUGCAAGAAGGGAAGUUGCGUUUGGUGAGAGCCUGUGAUACAAGUGAUAAAGAUGGAAGCUUACCUUUGAAGAACCACGAAAUGCCUCCAAUGGACAGGUCAUUAAACAGCAGUUCAUCUACUCGAGUAUUUCCAGGGCUUUGUCUCUAGCUCAGGCUGUCCUCACAUCCGUCUGUCAGACACCUCUACUUGACGGAGGCCACCCUUCCUCCCACUCCCUGGCCCUGUGUCCCACACCUGUCCCUUCUUAAUGAGGGACCCCAUCUGCCUGGGUGCCUGGGCCAGGAGGCUCCCUCCCCUUGGGUUGUCUCCACCCUCACUCAUGCCCAUCGCUCUGGACUUGGCCUCCUCAGAACCCCCGGGUUCCAUCCCUGGCAGCCUGAGGGGCACUCACCUCCACCGCUGCCGCCUUCUGGGUCCUUCUCUUCACAACAGGUGAUGCCAUCUUCCUCAAAUGCAGAUCCGACUGUGUCACCUCCAAUGGAGACCUUCAGUGACUUUCCAUUGUCGAUCGGGUAGAACCCACACUGUCCCAGGACCAAACAGGGCCCUGCUUCCACCCUCACCUUGUUCCCGCCCAGGCUUUGUUUGUCCUGCAUUGCACACAGUGCCCGGUACCCCGCAGGUUCACUCCCAGCUUUAGGGCAUUGCAUGUGCUGCUUCCUGCCCAUCACAGCCUGGCGACCCUCGCAUCCCUUCGGAGCCUGCCACGCCUCUCCUUCAGAAACAGCCCUAACCCGGAUACUGCACCCUGCUGCGCUGCUGACCUGCAGGUACCUUCCUGCAUCCCAUUCCACAUGGAGACCCCCUGGGCAGAGGCUUGGCCCCGUAGUAUCCCUAGUGCCAAGCACCAUGCCCACAUGUGCCACUCACUGAAUUAAAACUAGCAACUUAAUAAAGUUUGAACACUCAAACAUAUCACACACACUGGUCGCAGACAUGCUGUGAAGGCAUGUCACCUCAGAAAGGUUGCAUUUUGACUCUUCCACCAAGAGUAAAUGGCUGCAAGAGAUUGGAAGUGGCUGAGCAGAAGGUGGUCUGCAGGAACUUCCCAGCGCCCACCCCUGCCCCAUGGGAACACAGGUGGGUCUUUGGUGGUGGAAAACAUACUCUGUAAAUAGCCAAGUGAGUGCUAUUAUGAAGUCAGGGGAGACACUGUAUGGAGAAAAGCUACAGAAGUGGAAAUACAUUAGCCAACCCGACUUCAAGGGAAAUGACUGUCCCAUGAAACUGGGCUGGAAAUGCUCCAAGGUAGGCUGAGCUGGGACCUGAUGCUGCGUAAAGAGCCCAGAGGGAAGGGUGAGGUGUGGAGAACUCAGACCGAAUGUGAAGGGUGUGAGCACCCCAUAGAAGUUCUGCAUUGGAGGAACACCCAAAGACUUAGGGAGUUGGCAUCCAAGUAGCUUGGAGGUA